rnacentral:tRNA from 1 species
UCCCUGGUGGUCUAGGGGUUAGGACUUGGUACUUUCACUGCCGAGGCCUGGGUUCAAUUUCUGGUUUGGGAA